UUGACUCUUAAAUGAGAAUCGUUAUGAUUAUCACAACUGGUCGCGAGAUCAGCCGAUAACUGAAAGACCAUUGGUUCGGACUCUCAGCUUAUCUCCUCAUCAGGCUAAUCACGGUUAUUUGACCCGGCUCUUGCCGGGUCUUUUUUUG
rnacentral:sRNA from 1 species